GAACUUUUCCUUCCAUGCCAGAGGUUUAGGCUUACAGGAAUCCAAAGAGGAGACUCCACAUAUCACUGUCCAUGAUAAGAAGUGGCUACUUUGCAUAGUUGCAACACAUAUCCAACGAAAGGUCGAGUGAGAAACAGCUGGAGCUAGGUUUAUCAACAUUCAAGCUGCUUAUGAAUUGCUUUUAGAUGAAGAGAACAGAAGCCAAUGCGACAGGAAUAACUGAGUGAACCCAUUCAAAGCAUCUGAAGCAUGGAUAGAGUGCCUAAUGAAAAAAUGAAAAGCUUUUCAUCAGCAAGGUGAUAUGGCAAUAACAGCUUAGACUGAGGAACAGCAGCAUGAGAUGAAUAUCCAUGCAGAUCGUGUAUCAUUAUGCGACAUCCAUCAAACACUUCUCAUUAUUGUAUUAUGUUUAUUCCUUCAUUAAACUAUGUUUACCAAGUUUGAUUUGAAAUUAUUCAUUCUGGUGGGAUUCGUGUAACAUGUGCUAAUCAUACAGCUAAAGAAUUCAAAAAGUUGUUGAAUUCUUUAACUGCAUGAUUAAAACAUGUUACACGAAUUUCUCCAUCAGAAUCAGUAAGUUCAAACCAAACAAAAUCUGUAAAUUUCAACAAAGACAAUUGGUAUUUCUACUAUGUAAUGUUACAAAAUCAAACAUAGUCUCCACCAUGUAACAAUAAGUCCCGCAGCAAAGCGCGGGCACUUUUUCUAGUUGAUUUUGAUGAUUAAAAACACGAUGUUAAACAAUUGGCCUCAAAUAAAGUUGUGCAUGUUUGAGGUCUUUUGGUAAUGCAUAAAACCAGUUUUGAGACCUGAGAGGCUAAAGUGAAAUGUAUGACAUUGUACAAUAUGUAUCUGACAUGACCCGUCUCUAAUUUCACCCUAAAAUAUGAAGUGGCUCUGCAAAUCUUUGAUGUUUUGCUUUCUGUGUUUAACAGAUUCUUUACACUCUUGGUGGAUUAGAAAACAUACAGACGGCAAAAAAAUACUACGCAUAUGUUAUAGACUUGAUUGGGGGCAAGAAUAUCAGAGCACUAUUUGGUAUUAACUUGUGUACUUCUGCCAUUGCACGACUUGCGAAAGGAAGGAACAAGGAAGACAAGGAGCCCCGGAGCAAUGGGAUUGUAGAUCCAAGUGCUGUUAAGUAUGGUAUUGUAGUGUUGGUUUAUUUUACAAAGAAUGGGAUUGGUUGUUCAGUACUGACAAGAGUUGAAAGGUGGCAGAGAAGCUGAGCCUGUUUGAGCAAUAGAAGAUGGAAAGAGAGAGGCUGCAGAAGGUAAGCCAAAUUUCAAGAGUAAUGUGUGUGUGUGUGUGUGUGUGUGUGUGUGUGGUGUGUAUUUUUAUUGGAUAAUACUAAAUGCACAUGAGAUUCUACAUAUGUUCUAAAACCAUUUCUAUACAGAUCAGCCAAGCAAUCAACUGCUGGGAUUCUUCAUGUUUUAAUACAGUAGUUCUAUUCAGUUUGCAACUCCCAAUCCAUAUAUAUGGACAUCCAGAACAAUGUUAUUGAUUCUAGAUUUCUAUUUAAGCUGGUCAGCAAUGUUAACAAGCCCAAUUCAACAAAGAAAAUUCAUUAAUUCUAGAGCUUGCUUUGUUUCAGUUUCAUUGCUGUUUGAUCCCUGCCCUUCAACACAGUUAUGUAAUUCCAAAUAUAUAUUUUACGUUGACUUUCAUGAUUGAAGGAAGCAUCUAAAUAAACCUAAACAAGUUGACACAAAAAUGUUCUGGAAAAAGCAUGAGAAGCUGAUUAACAUCUCAAAAGAAAAAUGUACAUGAAUUAUUCAGCUCAUUCUGGCAUGGGAAGUUUUUGGAGUUAGUAUGUAGAACACAGUAUUUUCACUUUUGAUAUCUUACCUGGGCUCUAUAAUCAGGAGAUGAAUAUGAACAUUGAAAUGAAUGGAAUCUAUUGUAUACCACUCAUAUUCAGGUAAGAUACCCCUGAUUUUAAUGCAUGCAUAUGGAGUACAUGUUCAAGUGUUAUUUAAGAUGUUUGGCAAAUGAUGAUAUCAUCCAAUACGGAUGACCAAAGUACACAAUCCUUACUUACUUCCCAAAACAUAAAAAUAUAUGUUGUAUAUCUUGUGAGCAGCUAAACAGAGAGCAUGAUCUAUUCAUAUAUUCAAGUGAUGAAUAUGAAAGCAGGGAGCCGAACCACUAAAAUUAUACAUAUAUUGAAAGAUGAGUUCACUGUUACUACUGUUCAUCAAAGGGAGGAAAAGUCGAUUUUGCCCUUACUGUUCGUGGAGAAUAUCAAGCUGGUCUUCUAUAAACCGUGAAUAAAGAACCAAAUAGUGGAUUCGGGAACCUUCGCAAAAAAAAAAAAAAAAAAGAAUCACCGACUGAAAGAGAGUUGAGAUCGACAGAGAGAGUGAGAGUUCGUUCUUAUGUAUCUCAUAGUCAGAAGAAAGAAAAUUGAAAUCGACAGAAAGAGAGAGAGAGAGAGAGAGAGAGAGAAAGAGAGAGAAAGAGUUCGGUUCGAUCUUGGUCUCUGCUGUGGUUCUUCGUCUCGCUUAGAUUGAUAGUGAGGGAGGUUGUUGAUCGGCAUAGACAGGUCUCAAUUUUCGUUUGUUUCCAGCUUGGAGGCAUAAAAGAUUGUAUCUGAAUUGCAAAGCUCUGAUUUUUGGUGUGGAUGGAGGAUUUUAAUUAGCCGAGCUCUUUCUUUCUGUUCUUAUCAAUUGAUGCCCAAGUAUAUAAAGCAAAACGUGUAAUCUGCUGUGUUCGGGAAGCCUCCAUCAACAUCCGGAAUCACUGUUAGUAACCUCAGAGUCGGCAAUCAUGCAGAAUCACCAACAGUGAGGACUCGUCUCUGUAAAAGUUCAAGGAGUGAGAUACAAAAGAGCAAAGGACAAAUCAAUUUACGUUUGUUUUGGAGAAGGGCACGAUCUGCUGCACGAAUUAGAUUCAGAGAAAAUUCUUGACUGCCAAUUCUAAUCCCCUUAACAGAGGUUUUUUGCAAAGGAGUAUGUGGAUUGUUCUUUUGCCGCUGUUCCUGGUUUUGUUAAUUGCUGUUAGUUGGUUGUCCUGUCGUGGUUCAGCAGAUAUUGGGAACAGUGUGCGAUCAAAUUUUGGAAGUGCUUUGAAUUCAGUCUCUAUAAAAGGUCAAGCACUAAGAUUCGAAAGAGAAGACAACAAAUCAGUUUGGGUUCGUUCUGGAAAAGACUGGUUAAGGAGCUUGAUGAUGCAGCAGUCAAAGUUCAGAAAGUUUUGUAUAUCAAACUCGAAGAAACCUUGCAGAUCGUGCAGUGGUGGCUGAGGAGAUGGAAACUUUUAGAUUCUGCAGCUCUCAAGCAGAGUUCUGUGUCAUUCUUCAAUGUUGAGAAGCCGGAAACCGCCUCUUUGUGGUAGGCAAGGGCUAGGACUAGGCUG